GAGUACUGCUGUCCCUUUUGCAACAAUUAGCAUGUGAUAUCAACAAGGAUAGAUCCCGGAAAAUUGCAUGGAUGACUGAAGUGGCUGCUGCCGUUAAUCCCACAGAUCCAAUGAUAGCAAUGCACAUACGUCCCAUCUUCGAACAGGUGUAUCAGAUUUUGAACCAUCAACGGACCUUGCCAACAGUCUCUCCAGUCGAGCUCACUGGCAUUCGUAUAAUCAUGCAUCUUGUCAACUCCAUGAUGGUAACUUGUAAAUGAUUCUUCCCUCUUUCGUAUG
rnacentral:misc_RNA from 1 species